AUACGGAGGGUGCGGGCGUUAAUCGGAAUUACUGGGCGUAAAGCGUACGUAGGCGGUUUGCUAAGUCAGAUGUGAAAGCCCCGGGCUUAACCUGGGAACUGCGUUUCGAACUGGCAAACUAGAGUUCUUGAGAGGGUGGUAGAAUUUCAGGUGUAGCGGUGAAAUGCGUAGAGAUCUGAAGGAAUACCAGUGGCGAAGGCGGCCACCUGGCAAGUAACUGACGCUCAGAUGCGAAAGCGUGGGUAGCAAACGGGAUUAGAAACCCUAGUAGUCC
rnacentral:rRNA from 1 species